rnacentral:rRNA from 1 species
CCUACGGGGCGCAGCAGUGAGGAAUAUUGGUCAAUGGGCGGGAGCCUGAACCAGCCAAGUCGCGUGAGGGAAGACGGUCCUAUGGAUUGUAAACCUCUUUAGGCGGUGAGCAAUGCAGGGCACGUGUGCCCGGAGGGAGAGUACCCGCAGAAUACGGAUCGGCUAACUCCGUGCCAGCAGCCGCGGUAAUAAGGAGGAUGCGAGCGUUAACCGGCUUUAUUGGGUUACAAGGGUGCGUAGGCGGAAGGAUAGGUCAGCGGUCAAAUGUCGGUGCUCAACACCGGCCUGCCGUUGAAACUGGUCUUCUUGAGUGAGCGAGAAGUAUGCGGAAUGCGUGGGGUAGCGGUGAAAUGCAUAGAUAUCACGCAGAACUCCGAUUGCGAAGGCAGCAUACCGGCGCUCAACUGACGCUGAGGCACGAAAGCGUGGGGAUCGAACAGGAUUAGAUACCCCAGUAGUC